rnacentral:rRNA from 1 species
GAUGAACGCUGGCGGCGUGCCUAAUACAUGCGAGUCGAGCGAACGGACGAGAAGCUUGCUUCUCUGAUGUUAGCGGCGGACGGGUGAGUAACACGUGGAUAACCUACCUAUAAGACUGGGAUAACUUCGGGAAACCGGAGCUAAUACCGGAUAAUAUUUUGAACCGCAUGGUUCAAAAGUGAAAGACGGUCUUGCUGUCACUUAUAGAUGGAUCCGCGCUGCAUUAGCUAGUUGGUAAGGUAACGGCUUACCAAGGCAACGAUGCAUAGCCGACCUGAGAGGGUGAUCGUCCACACUGGAACUGAGACACGGUCCAGACUCCUACGGGAGGCAGCAGUAGGGAAUCUUCCGCAAUGGGCGAAAGCCUGACGGAGCAACGCCGCGUGAGUGAUGAAGGUCUUCGGAUCGUAAAACUCUGUUAUUAGGGAAGAACAUAUGUGUAAGUAACUGUGCACAUCUUGACGGUACCUAAUCAGAAAGCCACGGCUAACUACGUG